CUGAACCAGCCAAGUAGCGUGAAGGAUGAAGGAUCUAUGGUUCGUAAACUUCUUUUAUAGGGGAAUAAAGUGCAGGACGUGUCCUGUUUUGUAUGUACCCUGUGAAUAAGGAUCGGCUAGCUCCGUGCCAGCAGCCGCGGUAAUACGGAGGAUCCGAGCGUUAUCCGGAUUUAUUGGGUUUAAAGGGUGCGUAGGUGGCUUUUUAAGUCAGUUGUGAAAGUUUGCGG
rnacentral:rRNA from 1 species